UGGGGAAUAUUGCACAAUGGGCGCAAGCCUGAUGCAGCCAUGCCGCGUGUGUGAAGAAGGCCUUCGGGUUGUAAAGCACUUUCAGCGAGGAGGAAGGUGGUGAGCUUAAUACGCUCAUCAAUUGACGUUACUCGCAGAAGAAGCACCGGCUAACUCCGUGCCAGCAGUCGCGGUGAUACGGAGGGUGCAAGCGUUAAUCGGAAUUACUGGGCGUAAAGCGCACGCAGGCGGUUUGUUAAGUCAGAUGUGAAAUCCCCGGGCUCAACCUGGGAACUGCAUUUGAAACUGGCAAGCUAGAGUCUCGUAGAGGGGGGUAGAAUUCCAGGUGUAGCGGUGAAAUGCGUAGAGAUCUGGAGGAAUACCGGUGGCGAAGGCGGCCCCCCUGGACGAAGACUGACGCUCAGGUGCGAAAGCGUGGGGCAGCAAACAGGAUUAGAUACCCUGGUAGUCCAGCGCUGUAAACGAUGUCGAUUUGGAGGUUGUGCCCUUGAGGCGUGGCUUCCGGAGCUAACGCGUUAAAUCGACCGCCUGGGGAGUACGGCCGCAAGGUUAAAACUCAAAGGAAUUGACGGGG
rnacentral:rRNA from 1 species